CGGCGUGCCUAAUACAUGCAAGUCGAGCGGGAGCCGAGAAGACGCUUGCGUUUUCUCGGUUUUAGCGGCGGACGGGUGAGUAACACGUGGGUAACCUGCCUUACACAGGGGAAUAACAAUGAGAAAUCAUUGCUAAAACGCCAUAAGCUCACGCCACGGCAUCGUGGAGCGAGAAAAUAUUCAUAGGUGUAAGAGGGGCCCGCGUCUGAUUAGCUAGUUGGCGGGGUAAAGGCCCACCAAGGCGACGAUCAGUAGCCGACCUGAGAGGGUGAUCGGCCACAUUGGGACUGAGACACGGCCCAAACUCCUACGGGAGGCAGCAGUAGGGAAUAUUGCACAAUGGGCGCAAGCCUGAUGCAGCAACGCCGCGUGAAGGAAGAAGGGUUUCGGCUCGUAAACUUCUUUAGGCAGGGACGAAGAAAGUGACGGUACCUGCAGAAUAAGCCCCGGCUAACUACGUGCCAGCAGCCGCGGUAAUACGUAGGGGGCAAGCGUUAUCCGGAAUUACUGGGUGUAAAGGGUGAGUAGGCGGAUGAGCAAGUCAUAUGUGAAAGCCCUGGGCUUAACCCAGGGACUGCAUAAGAAACUGUUGAUCUAGAGUACAGGAGAGGUAAGCGGAAUUCCUAGUGUAGCGGUGAAAUGCGUAGAUAUUAGGAAGAACACCAGUGGCGAAGGCGGCUUACUGGACUGAAACUGACGCUGAGUCACGAAAGCGUGGGGAGCGAACAGGAUUAGAUACCCUGGUAGUCCACGCCGUAAACGAUGAGUGCUAGGUGUUGGGUCGAGAGACUCGGUGCCGCAGCUAACGCAAUAAGCACUCCACCUGGGGAGUACGGUCGCAAGAUUGAAACUCAAAGGAAUUGACGGGGGCCCGCACAAGCGGUGGAGCAUGUGGUUUAAUUCGAAGCAACGCGAAGAACCUUACCAAGGCUUGACAUCCCCCUGACCGGCGUAGAGAUACGCCUUCUCUUCGGAGCAGGGGAGACAGGUGGUGCAUGGUUGUCGUCAGCUCGUGUCGUGAGAUGUUGGGUUAAGUCCCGCAACGAGCGCAACCCUUAUGUUUAGUAGCCAGCGGGUAAGGCCGGGCACACUAGAGAGACUGCCGUGGAUAACACGGAGGAAGGUGGGGACGACGUCAAAUCAUCAUGCCCCUUAUGUCUUGGGCGACACACGUGCUACAAUGGCUGAUACAAAGUGAAGCGAGUACGCGAGUAUGAGCAAACCACAAAAAAGCAGCCUCAGUUCGGAUUGUAGUCUGCAACCCGACUACAUGAAGUUGGAAUCGCUAGUAAUCGCGAAUCAGCAUGUCGCGGUGAAUACGUUCCCGGGC
rnacentral:rRNA from 1 species